rnacentral:siRNA from 1 species
GGGCAUUUAACGGUGUUGGUGUUG